GAAUGGGGAAACCCAGCAUGAGUUAUGUCAUGUUAUCGAUAUGUGAAUACAUAGCAUAUCAGAAGGCACACCCGGAGAACUGAAACAUCUUAGUACCCGGAGGAAGAGAAAGAAAAUUCGAUUCCCUUAGUAGCGGCGAGCGAAACGGGAAGAGCCCAAACCAACAAGCUUGCUUGUUGGGGUUGUAGGACACUCUAUACGGAGUUACAAAGGACGACAUUAGACGAAUCAUCUGGAAAGAUGAAUCAAAGAAGGUAAUAAUCCUGUAGUCGAAAAUGUUGUCUCUCUUGAGUGGAUCCUGAGUACGACGGAGCACGUGAAAUUCCGUCGGAAUCUGGGAGGACCAUCUCCUAAGGCUAAAUACUCUCUAGUGACCGAUAGUGAACCAGUACCGUGAGGGAAAGGUGAAAAGCACCCCGGAAGGGGAGUGAAAUAGAACCUGAAACCGUGUGCUUACAAGUAGUCAGAGCCCGUUAAUGGGUGAUGGCGUGCCUUUUGUAGAAUGAACCGGCGAGUUACGAUUUGAUGCAAGGUUAAGCAGUAAAUGUGGAGCCGUAGCGAAAGCGAGUCUGAAUAGGGCGUUUAGUAUUUGGUCGUAGACCCGAAACCAGGUGAUCUACCCUUGGUCAGGUUGAAGUUCAGGUAACACUGAAUGGAGGACCGAACCGACUUACGUUGAAAAGUGAGCGGAUGAACUGAGGGUAGCGGAGAAAUUCCAAUCGAACCUGGAGAUAGCUGGUUCUCUCCGAAAUAGCUUUAGGGCUAGCCUCAAGUGAUGAUUAUUGGAGGUAGAGCACUGUUUGGACGAGGGGCCCCUCUCGGGUUACCGAAUUCAGACAAACUCCGAAUGCCAAUUAAUUUAACUUGGGAGUCAGAACAUGGGUGAUAAGGUCCGUGUUCGAAAGGGAAACAGCCCAGACCACCAGCUAAGGUCCCAAAAUAUAUGUUAAGUGGAAAAGGAUGUGGCGUUGCCCAGACAACUAGGAUGUUGGCUUAGAAGCAGCCAUCAUUUAAAGAGUGCGUAAUAGCUCACUAGUCGAGUGACACUGCGCCGAAAAUGUACCGGGGCUAAACAUAUUACCGAAGCUGUGGAUUGUCCUUUGGACAAUGGUAGGAGAGCGUUCUAAGGGCGUUGAAGCAUGAUCGUAAGGACAUGUGGAGCGCUUAGAAGUGAGAAUGCCGGUGUGAGUAGCGAAAGACGGGUGAGAAUCCCGUCCACCGAUUGACUAAGGUUUCCAGAGGAAGGCUCGUCCGCUCUGGGUUAGUCGGGUCCUAAGCUGAGGCCGACAGGCGUAGGCGAUGGAUAACAGGUUGAUAUUCCUGUACCACCUAUAAUCGUUUUAAUCGAUGGGGGGACGCAGUAGGAUAGGCGAAGCGUGCGAUUGGAUUGCACGUCUAAGCAGUAAGGCUGAGUAUUAGGCAAAUCCGGUACUCGUUAAGGCUGAGCUGUGAUGGGGAGAAGACAUUGUGUCUUCGAGUCGUUGAUUUCACACUGCCGAGAAAAGCCUCUAGAUAGAAAAUAGGUGCCCGUACCGCAAACCGACACAGGUAGUCAAGAUGAGAAUUCUAAGGUGAGCGAGCGAACUCUCGUUAAGGAACUCGGCAAAAUGACCCCGUAACUUCGGGAGAAGGGGUGCUCUUUAGGGUUAACGCCCAGAAGAGCCGCAGUGAAUAGGCCCAAGCGACUGUUUAUCAAAAACACAGGUCUCUGCUAAACCGUAAGGUGAUGUAUAGGGGCUGACGCCUGCCCGGUGCUGGAAGGUUAAGAGGAGUGGUUAGCUUCUGCGAAGCUACGAAUCGAAGCCCCAGUAAACGGCGGCCGUAACUAUAACGGUCCUAAGGUAGCGAAAUUCCUUGUCGGGUAAGUUCCGACCCGCACGAAAGGCGUAACGAUUUGGGCACUGUCUCAACGAGAGACUCGGUGAAAUCAUAGUACCUGUGAAGAUGCAGGUUACCCGCGACAGGACGGAAAGACCCCGUGGAGCUUUACUGUAGCCUGAUAUUGAAAUUCGGCACAGCUUGUACAGGAUAGGUAGGAGCCUUUGAAACGUGAGCGCUAGCUUACGUGGAGGCGCUGGUGGGAUACUACCCUAGCUGUGUUGGCUUUCUAACCCGCACCACUUAUCGUGGUGGGAGACAGUGUCAGGCGGGCAGUUUGACUGGGGCGGUCGCCUCCUAAAAGGUAACGGAGGCGCUCAAAGGUUCCCUCAGAAUGGUUGGAAAUCAUUCAUAGAGUGUAAAGGCAUAAGGGAGCUUGACUGCGAGACCUACAAGUCGAGCAGGGUCGAAAGACGGACUUAGUGAUCCGGUGGUUCCGCAUGGAAGGGCCAUCGCUCAACGGAUAAAAGCUACCCCGGGGAUAACAGGCUUAUCUCCCCCAAGAGUUCACAUCGACGGGGAGGUUUGGCACCUCGAUGUCGGCUCAUCGCAUCCUGGGGCUGUAGUCGGUCCCAAGGGUUGGGCUGUUCGCCCAUUAAAGCGGUACGCGAGCUGGGUUCAGAACGUCGUGAGACAGUUCGGUCCCUAUCCGUCGUGGGCGUAGGAAAUUUGAGAGGAGCUGUCCUUAGUACGAGAGGACCGGGAUGGACAUACCUCUGGUGUACCAGUUGUCGUGCCAACGGCAUAGCUGGGUAGCUAUGUGUGGACGGGAUAAGUGCUGAAAGCAUCUAAGCAUGAAGCCCCCCUCAAGAUGAGAUUUCCCAACUUCGGUUAUAAGAUCCCUCAAAGAUGAUGAGGUUAAUAGGUUCGAGGUGGAAGCAUGGUGACAUGUGGAGCUGACGAAUACUAAUCGAUCGAAGACUUAAUCAA
rnacentral:rRNA from 1 species